UGCUUAACACAUGCAAGUCCAACGAUGAUCUCCAGCUUGCUGGGGGGAUUAGUGGCGAACGGGUGAGUAACACGUGAGUAACCUGCCCUUGACUCUGGGAUAAGCCUGGGAAACUGGGUCUAAUACCGGAUAUGACUCCUCAUCGCAUGGUGGGGGGUGGAAAGCUUUUGUGGUUUUGGAUGGACUCGCGGCCUAUCAGCUUGUUGGUGGGGUAAUGGCCUACCAAGGCGACGACGGGUAGCCGGCCUGAGAGGGUGACCGGCCACACUGGGACUGAGACACGGCCCAGACUCCUACGGGAGGCAGCAGUGGGGAAUAUUGCACAAUGGGCGGAAGCCUGAUGCAGCGACGCCGCGUGAGGGAUGACGGCCUUCGGGUUGUAAACCUCUUUCAGUAGGGAAGAAGCCGCGAGGUGACGGUACCUGCAGAAGAAGCGCCGGCUAACUACGUGCCAGCAGCCGCGGUAAUACGUAGGGCGCAAGCGUUAUCCGGAAUUAUUGGGCGUAAAGAGCUCGUAGGCGGUUUGUCGCGUCUGCUGUGAAAGACCGGGGCUCAACUCCG
rnacentral:rRNA from 1 species